GGGAAAAACCAGAAACUCUUUAUAAUCUUUUAUAUUUAUUCAUAUUAAAUGUUUCGUACAAAUGUAUUUGUUUAUUUUUUGGUAAAUAAAUAUGAUAUUAACAGACUGCUGAGUAUACUCUACUAAAUAUAGCACAACCAUUUACAGCAGAGAAUUAUGGGAAGGCAGGUGAAAGGAAUUCUGGGUAGAGAACACUGACGCACAGUUUCUAAGCUAGCAUGGAAGGUAAAAUUUAUUUGCAUAUUUUUCUUGAAUUUACCUGAAAUUUCAGCUAAACAAUAAUCAGCAAAGAACAUUUCUGUAUGUAAUCUGAAUUUAAGCAGAAUGAUGUAUCCUACAGGUAGGUUUCAAUGAAACUGACAGUAGCAAGCCACUGCAGACAUUAAAGAAUGAAGGCAAAGCAAAAGAUUUUGUAGCAAAGUAAAACUCUCAAAAAUGACAAUCUGCAAAUGAAACAAUAUUUUCUUAUAUAUCAGUUUAACAUAUUUAAUGUGUUUACAAUGCAUGAGAGUGACAAGCACAGUUUUAUCUGCUUAAAAAAAAAAGAGGGAAUUGCUAGGUAUGUGUAUGCAAUAUAUAUAUGUUGUGCCAAUGCAUAAUGUGUUAACACAAAAUAAACUGUGUGUGCUUUAACUGAAAAAAUAUGGAAAUACAUGAAACUGGCUUCUACAGAAUAAACAGAUAUAUAUGUAGCACAUACAAGGAAUGAAAGCAAAGGCUGUAAAUGGUGGGGCUUGGAAUUUUUUUACCUUAAUUCAUUCUUUUAAAUGUCUCUAGUUUAGCUGAACAAUUUCUGGAGUAAUGCAUAUUUACUUGUACUCAUGCAUAUAUUCCUUACACGUAGUAGUGUGGACAUAAGCAGGAUUUUUACAUGAUUGACUAAACCCAAUUCCUGAAGCCUGCCUUUCCAUAAAACUGCUAUAUCAUCACAUAACUAAAUCAGAUCUAUUGUCAAAAACAGAGUCCAAAAAGGCAAAAUACAAAAUAAUGUGUUUUUAAAUCUGACCAAGUUACCUUUAAAGUUUACCAAACUAGUUUAAGACAGAAAAAAGAAACAAACAAAGGGGAAGUCACAACCCAAAUGUUCAAUUACAAAAUGCUGAUUCAAAUGCUAGGAUAUUACCAGAAUAAUGUCAUAUAAAGUUUCUGUUGUUACUAAAUCAUAAAAAAAUUUAAAAUCAGUAUUUUACCACAUUCAAUCCAACUACUAUACAACUGUCAAAUUUUUGCCACAAACUUCCCGAUUUCACAGGAUUAUUUAUGUUGUCUUUUCAACAAAAACACCCUAUUAGGUAUUACAGUAAAUUGCAAACUCUCCAUAUACCCUAACACAUGCUAUAUUUGUAACAGAACAUCAAUAUGAACUACAAUUGCACAGAGAAGUUAAGGUUUUAUUGCUAAAUGGUUUCUAUAAAAAAUAGGUUACCGGUAAGUGGAAAUGAAAUAAAGAAAGUUGAAUUAAAGCUUUUUCAUGAGAAAUAUUUGAAAGCGUUCCUUCACGCUCUCAUGGGUAAAGACGACUUGUAUAUUUAUCAUAGACAUAAUGACGUGAUACUGGUUCUCUAAUGGCAAGAUAUGAUAUUCACAAUGCUUAAUUCAUUAAAUGAUACCUAGUUAUUAUCUUUUAAUAUAAUGAAAUAUUGUAGUACAUAUAUAUCUAUAUAUUCAAUAUAAAACAUCUUCAAACAAUAGACUUUCAAGUGAUUAAUAAUAAUACAUCCUUUCCCAAACUCUGACAAUACUUUAACAUAUCAACAAGUAAACUAUACAAGUUAAUAACAAGUUGUUAAAGCUACAUAAGAAAAUACCUGAUCCAAAACUGCAGUAAUUUUUUUCUUUGAAAAUAACCAGUUUCAUUCAUGAUACAAAGAAAGAAGUUUUAAUGGUCAAGAAGAUGGAUCAUCUUUCAAGAUGGAUGCAUAUUUGUGGUAAGUUUGAUCAAUAGUGUGUAAGGGAAUGGAUAAACACAAAGGAAGACAACUCCUGAUAACUGAUAUUUUUUAACUUAACCUGGAGUAUUUGCGCCAGGUUUGACAUUGACCUUAAUUAUUUUAGGCCAGGUUAUUUCAAGGUUUCUGAGAAACAAAGCUAUCAUGAAAUGAGACAGAGAAAAAAAGAUUUCCAAGUCCUUCUCAUAACUAAGAUGAAAAUUAAUUUUGUGUCCUUUUCACAUCAGAUAACACCAAAAAGUUAUACCCUUAUUUCAUACUGACUGUGAAACAAGUUCUGCAAUUUAUAUUAAUACUAUACACCACUAAUUCUUAAAGUAACUUGUUUUCAACACAAGUGAUAUAUUUAAGUCUGAUGAAAUCAGACAAAAAUUUAAGGUCUUCAUAUCUAGUUUAGUUUUGCAAGAUCAAGAAAAGUUCAUAUAAACAUCUAUACAACUAUACAUGGCAAAUCUAUUACCAAUAUGACCUGUACAAAAUAUAUACAUAAUAUAUAUGCAGACAAUUCACAUAUUAUAUAUUCUUUGCAUAAUAACAUUAUAAUGAUAUGUAAGAUUUUAACAUGAUAAUCAUUAACACUUUAACAUGUACAAUAAAAUAAACUUCCAUGGCAACCAUCUACAAUACCGUAAUUACAAAAAUGUAGACAUCUGUGUACUUAAGACAUUGUAAUAAUAAACAACUCUGAUAUUGUUUCUAAAAAGAGUGGGUAUCUAUUUAAGUCAGAUUCUAAACUCAUUCCCUACUGUACAUCACACAAAACAAACAAUGGAAUGUGAAUAUUUUGAUUUGUUCUUCUCAAUAUCUAUAUUCCUGAAUGAUGUUUUUUU